rnacentral:tRNA from 1 species
ACAGGGGUAGCUCAGUGGCAGAGUGCCUGCUUUCUAAGCAGAAGGUCAUGGGUUCAAACCCCGUCCCCUGUU